rnacentral:rRNA from 1 species
AGUCACUGACAUUAGAUACCCGGGUAGUCCCAGCCGUAAACGAUGUGCGUUAGGUGUAUCGACGACCACGAGUUGUCGAGGUGCCGAAGGGAAACCGUGAAACGUACCGUCUGGGAAGUACGGUCGCAAGGCUGAAACUUAAAGGAAUUGGCGGGGGAGCACCACAACAGGUGGAGCCUGCGGUUUAAUUGGACUCAACGCCGGGAAUCUCACCGGAUAGGACAGCGGAAUGAUUGCCGGGCUGAAGACUCUGCAUGACUAGCUG